AGGACGAACGCUGGCGGCGUGCUUAACACAUGCAAGUCGAGCGGAAAGGCCCUUCGGGGUACUCGAGCGGCGAACGGGUGAGUAACACGUGAGCAACCUGCCCUUAGCUCCGGGAUAGCUCCGGGAAACCGGAAUUAAUACCGGAUAUGACCUAGGCCGACAUCGGCUGUGGUGGAAAGUUUUUCGGCUGGGGAUGGACUCGCGGCCUAUCAGCUUGUUGGUGGGGUAAUGGCCUACCAAGGCGACGACGGGUAGCCGGCCUGAGAGGGCGACCGGCCACACUGGGACUGAGACACGGCCCAGACUCCUACGGGAGGCAGCAGUGGGGAAUCUUGCGCAAUGGGCGAAAGCCUGACGCAGCGACGCCGCGUGGGGGAUGAAGGCCUUCGGGUUGUAAACCCCUUUCAGCAGGGACGAAGCGAAAGUGACGGUACCUGCAGAAGAAGCGCCGGCUAACUACGUGCCAGCAGCCGGC
rnacentral:rRNA from 1 species